CGCGGGGUGGAGCAGCCUGGUAGCUCGUCGGGCUCAUAACCCGAAGGUCGUCGGUUCAAAUCCGGCCCCCGCACCCC
rnacentral:tRNA from 1 species